rnacentral:rRNA from 1 species
AAAACUUUCAACAACGGAUCUCUUGGUUCUGGCAUCGAUGAAGAACGCAGCGAAAUGCGAUAAGUAAUGUGAAUUGCAGAAUUCAGUGAAUCAUCGAAUCUUUGAACGCACAUUGCGCCCUCUGGUAUUCCGGGGGGCAUGCCUGUUCGAGCGUCAUUUC